UGGGGAAUCUUGCGCAAUGGGCGAAAGCCUGACGCAGCCAUGCCGCGUGAGUGAUGAAGGCCUUAGGGUUGUAAAACUCUUUCAGCGGGGACGAUAAUGACGGUACCCGCAGAAGAAGCCCCGGCUAACUUCGUGCCAGCAGCCGCGGUAAUACGAAGGGGGCUAGCGUUGCUCGGAAUUACUGGGCGUAAAGGGAGCGUAGGCGGAUAGUUUAGUCAGAGGUGAAAUCCCGGGGCUCAACCUCGGAACUGCCUUUGAUACUGGCUAUCUUGAGUAUGGGAGAGGUGUGUGGAACUCCGAGUGUAGAGGUGAAAUUCGUAGAUAUUCGGAAGAACACCAGUGGCGAAGGCGACACACUGGCCCAUUACUGACGCUGAGGCUCGAAAGCGUGGGGAGCAAACAG
rnacentral:rRNA from 1 species